CAAAAACCGGUCCCAGUUCGGACUGCAGGCUGCAACCCGCCUGCACGAAGCCGGAGUUGCUAGUAAUCGCGAAUCAGAAUGUCGCGGUGAAUGCGUUCCCGGGUCUUGUACACACCGCCCGUCACACCAUGGAAGCCGGGGCGCCUGAAGUCCGGGACCGCGAGGACCGGCCUAGGGCGAAACUGGUAACGUGGGCUAAGUCGUAACAAGGUAUC
rnacentral:rRNA from 1 species